CUAUAACUUUCAAUUCAGUGAUCCAUUAGCUCAAAUUUUUUCCCAAAAGCCUCGACACAGCUAACUAUUGAUCCGAAAAUCCUGCCUAUUGUCAUCUUAAAGCACCCAUGCCUUUUCCAUUCUCCUUCGUUUUCAACAGCAGACGCACAACUCCAACAAUAUUUACCCAGAAAAGAACUAACCCAAUUCCCAAAUCUUCCGCUUAAAUUUCCUCUUUUCUACCUCAAAUUCGUACAGCAAGAGCGUGCUUGGCAUGAGACCAAACACACGCGGAGUCUGAGCCUCUAAGAAAAAUUUUCAAAAUAUUGGUUUCUCUCACAUAGAAAGUAUUCUCAGAAUUUGGAGGUUUUGGGUGCUAUAAAAGCCCCUCUCCUCACUGUUCAAGCGAGGUUUUUGGACUCGAGAGUAGUACCCCUAUAAUGUUUGGGACUUCUCAGUUCAAUAAUUUAAAGUUUUGUGGUUGUUCGAGUUGAAGAGGUGGAAUCGUUUCUAUUCAAACUCGUUGUUCGGUUCGCUGCUCAGAGCUAGUGGCAUCCGAACGAGUCCGAUGGACUCCCCUCUCUUGCAUUUCCCUCUUCUUCAAGUUGACCUCCAUUCGAGUUAUGAAAGGGAAGCAUUAAUUAAUGGGUCAAAACCCAAAUCAGUGGCAGCAACUAAGUGGCGCAGUAAUAAAAAUUCAAACGGCUGGAAAUUGAAUUUUGGAUUUAAGAAUCCAAUUUGAUUAUUGCAGUAGUAGCAGCAGACCCAAGGGGACUAAAAUUGAAUCUUUGGACUUAAAUAAUUACUACUUGAGUAACCAGCAGUAGCAGGAGGAACCAGAAAGGGGCCAAAAUGCCCUUUUCAUCCAGCCAGUUACUUUAUUUCAUUGUUUUUUACUCUAUUUGUGAAUAUAUCUUGGUAAUCACUAACUUUUAAUAUUUUAUUUUUGUCAACUUAAAUGAAUCCUUGAAGAAGUUUUUCUAUUU